CCGGUAAACGGCGGCCGUAACUAUAACGGUCCUAAGGUAGCGAAAUUCCUUGUCGGGUAAGUUCCGACCUGCACGAAUGGCGUAAUGAUGGCCAGGCUGUCUCCACCCGAGACUCAGUGAAAUUGAACUCGCUGUGAAGAUGCAGUGUACCCGCGGCAAGACGGAAAGACCCCGUGAACCUUUACUAUAGCUUGACACUGAACAUUGAGCCUUGAUGUGUAGGAUAGGUGGGAGGCUUUGAAGUGUGGACGCCAGUCUGCAUGGAGCCGACCUUGAAAUACCACCCUUUAAUGUUUGAUGUUCUAACGUUGACCCGUAAUCCGGGUUGCGGACAGUGUCUGGUGGGUAGUUUGACUGGGGCGGUCUCCUCCUAAAGAGUAACGGAGGAGCACGAAGGUUGGCUAAUCCUGGUCGGACAUCAGGAGGUUAGUGCAAUGGCAUAAGCCAGCUUGACUGCGAGCGUGACGGCGCGAGCAGGUGCGAAAGCAGGUCAUAGUGAUCCGGUGGUUCUGAAUGGAAGGGCCAUCGCUCAACGGAUAAAAGGUACUCCGGGGAUAACAGGCUGAUACCGCCCAAGAGUUCAUAUCGACGGCGGUGUUUGGCACCUCGAUGUCGGCUCAUCACAUCCUGGGGCUGAAGUAGGUCCCAAGGGUAUGGCUGUUCGCCAUUUAAAGUGGUACGCGAGCUGGGUUUAGAACGUCGUGAGACAGUUCGGUCCCUAUCUGCCGUGGGCGCUGGAGAACUGAGGGGGGCUGCUCCUAGUACGAGAGGACCGGAGUGGACGCAU
rnacentral:rRNA from 1 species